rnacentral:rRNA from 1 species
UAAGCCUGCGAAGGUGUGCUGUGAGGCAUGCUGGAGGUAUCAGAAGUGCGAAUGCUGACAUAAGUAACGAUAAAGCGGGUGAAAAGCCCGCUCGCCGGAAGACCAAGGGUUCCUGUUCAACGUUAAUCGGAGCAGGGUGAGUCGACCCCUAAGGCGAGGCUGAAAAGCGUAGUCGAUGGGAAACGGGUUAAUAUUCCCGUACUUGUGGUAACUGCGAAGGGGGGACGGAG